rnacentral:rRNA from 1 species
CACGUAGGGGGCAAGCGUUGUCCGGAUUUAUUGGGCGUAAAGAGCUCGUAGGUGGUUCGGUAAGUCAGGUGUGAAACCUCCAGGCUCAACCUGGAGACGCCACUUGAUACUGCUGUGACUGGAGUCCGGUAGGGGAGCGUGGAAUUCCUGGUGUAGCGGUGAAAUGCGCAGAUAUCAGGAGGAACACCAGCGGCGAAGGCGGCGCUCUGGGCCGGUACUGACACUGAGGUGCGAAAGCGUGGGUAGCAAACAGG